AGAGUUUGAUCCUGGCUCAGGACGAACGCUGGCGGCGUGCUUAACACAUGCAAGUCGAACGGGCUAUAGCAAUAUAGCUAGUGGCGAACGGGUGAGUAACGCGUGACCAAUCUGCCCCAGACUGCGGAAUAACGGUGGGAAACUACCGCUAAUACCGCAUGUUGAAAUCGAGUCGCAUGGCUUGAUUUUGAAAGCUUCGGCGGUCUGGGAUGAGGUCGCGACCUAUUAGCUUGUUGGUGAGGUAACGGCUCACCAAGGCAACGAUGGGUAGCUGGUCUGAGAGGAUGAUCAGCCACACUGGGACUGAGAUACGGCCCAGACUCCUACGGGAGGCAGCAGUGAGGAAUAUUGCGCAAUGGACGAAAGUCUGACGCAGCAACGCCGCGUGAAGGAUGAAGGUGCUUUGCAUUGUAAACUUCUGUAGGGGGGGACGAAUAUCCCGGUUUUGCCGGGACUGACGGUACCCCCAAAGUAAGCACCGGCUAAUUCCGUGCCAGCAGCCGCGGUAAUACGGAAGGUGCAAGCGUUGUCCGGAUUAACUGGGUGUAAAGGGCGUGUAGGCGGAGGAAUGUGUCGGAAGUGAAAUCGUGCGGCUUAACCGUAUCAUUGCUUUCGAAACUGUUCCCCUUGAGUUCGAGAGAGGCAGAUGGAAUACCAGUGUAGCGGUGGAAUGCGUAGAUUCUGGUAGAACACCGGCGAAGCGGUCUGCUGGCUCGAUACUGACGCUAGCGCGAAAGUGUGGGUAGCGAACAGGAUUAGAUACCCUGGUAGU
rnacentral:rRNA from 1 species